UACGGGGGGGGCAAGCGUUGUUCGGAAUUACUGGGCGUAAAGGGCGCGUAGGUGGCCAACUAAGUCAGACGUGAAAUCCCCAGGCUCAACUUGGGAACUGCGUCUGAUACUGGAUGGCUUGAAUUCGAGAGAGGGAUGCAGAAUUCCAGGUGUAGCGGUGAAAUGCGUAGAUAUCGGGAGGAACACCUGUGGCGAAGGCGGCGACCUGGUCCGAUACUGACGCUGAGGCGCGAAAGCGUGGGGAGCAAACAGG
rnacentral:rRNA from 1 species